rnacentral:sRNA from 1 species
GAGUUUUUAGUUCGAAUUGUAACCGUUUCCGUAUAACCAAAGAAGUUGAGGAUCCAUCUGUUCUACCAGUACUUAACACGGAGGACAUAUCCGGUCCUGUUGACGAGAUCCUUGUAGUCUGAAGUUCUGACGUUGUCGAAGUUUGUGUAACUGGGGUAGAAUCAGUUGUGGAUAAAAUUGAUAAGGAGGACGAUCUUUCAGAAGGUGUCGUAGUUCUGAUGAGUGAAGUACCUAAAUUAUUGAAUAUUUAUGUUGUCAUUUAUAGCAAGAAGAAAAUAUUUCAUGGCAACAGCCUAUACUGUAUUAUUUGAUUGAUUGUAAAUUACUCAAGACAUAGAGAUAUGAGUUAUUGUAAUCCCUAACCAUUCUCAGUAGUGAUUGCAUCAUCAUUGACGUUGAAAACAGAUUCCGAUGACGUAGACGUUAAGGGGAGGACAGUCGAAACGGAGUAUGGCAAUUUACCGUUUAUACAGGUCAAACAGCAGAGGUUUUCACGGGUGAAGUUGUUGUAAGUGGGACAUUUGGAAAACUGACACCCGUCUCUUCGAUCCCCGUAUUCACAGCCUUCAAAAGGACAGAAUCAAACACGUAUUAUAUCUACUUAUGGACCCACUAAUUAAUAAAUGGUUCAGUCACAGGACACAAGUAUGAAAUACAACUACAAUAGGAAAGUCUGCACUUAAUUUUGAUUACAACUAAGUCACUUACGCUUUUACAAAAAAUGUAUUUUGUCAUGGAAAUGCUAUUUUGGAAAACGAUGAUCAUUAAACAACAGCAUCACGCUAGCCACUCGAACACGAUUUUCAAAAUUGAAAAUUUCCUUAGUAUGUAUUUGUAGGACGAUGUUUUCAUCAACAACUUUGAAUCUUGCUUUUUAGAAAUGUCAGAGUACUUGCCUGUGAUGUCAGUUUUGAUCUCCUCACACGACAAACAACAGGCAGCGUUGACCGAGGGGAGAUAACAGUCGUACGGCCGUCCGUAAACUCUGUCGACGCACUCAACGCCGCCCGGGACCACCGGCUGGUCACCAAACGGGCACCUGUCUACAACAUACACCCAACUGAGGACGUGAAUUCUGAACAACUGUUUUUUGAAAUUCUAAAAUAUCAAAGUACAGAGUUUGGAGAAAAGACAUUACCUGGUACGUUUUCACCUUCAUCCGACAACACACAUUCACCCCCAUUGCAAGUCUAGAAAUAUAAAACCUAGAGUGUUUAGAAACAGUUCACGUUCAAAUCUAACACUAAAAACUGUGGUAAACAGAAAUAAAUCUUUAAGAAAUAAAUAAUACAUUCCUAACAAUGGUUCCUACCGUGAAGUUGCCACAAAUAGUGCCGUCUAGAGGAAGGAUACUGGAGCAUGUGGUGGACUCGGGCGAAUAACAGGACAUUCCUCCACACAGGGUGCUGUAGUCCGGACCGGUCAGGGCCUGUCAACGUACAGUCAUUCCAACAUAGUUACUUCCGACAAUAAUCCACAUUCUAAUUUUGAUUUGAUUGGAACAUAUUUUCAUUGUACAAAAGUACAUUUGGGAUUGAGCACAAGUUCCAUAACUUAAACCGCCCUCUCCCAAUUUUGAUUUGGAUAGCGACAAUUACCCUACAUAAAAACGACUCCAGACCAAAGGCAGUCCUACAUUGGGUGUCUGCAUCCGGGGAUUUAGCCACCUCUGAUAACAAUGGCACCCCGGUGGCUGUGUGGGACCUCAAGCAUUCUGUCCCGUCACUGUAAAACCAAACAUUGGUAUAACCUUUUUUCACUAAAAUGUAACUUAAAUGUUGUAUGUUAGCAAGCAUUGGUCAGUACAAGGAGAUGCAGAUGACACUCGGCACAUAGUCGUACCUGUCCGACUUCUGAAGGAAAGUUUUGAUGUAUGAUAUGGAACAACGUGAAAACUUCCAAAGAUUCGGCGUCUUGGGGCUGUUGAAAGCAAACUUGGUCGACAUGAUGUUAAGAUUGGUUGCUCGGCAAAAGUUCCCAUCCAUGUCCAACCUGGAACCGAGGCUUAGAGGGAAAAAAGGGUUUAAGAUAAAUAUACGGCUAAAUGUAAAUAUAUAGUAUUAUUGGUAUGUUGUAUAUUUACUUUGUACCUUCUUCCAAGCUCCUGAGCGGCGAAUAUCGCUGUCCGUUCAUCGUAGAAAUCUUCCACCACCGACAUCGCCAGGGCCGUGCAGACAGAAUCGGGAUAGGAUAGUCCUGCCAUCGAGAACAUUGUAAUAUUAUAGAGCUCUCUAAUUUAAUGUAUUUAUACACAAUCCCAAUGAAUUCAAAAUUUACAGUAAGAUAAAUCCGUAAAGUUGUAUUGAGAAAAUACAAAAACUGUAUUGGGAAUAGGU